GUUGCUUCGCUGCAUCCUCUCUCGCCUUCACCUUCCAUCCUCCACCUGUUCGCUUCAUCAGUUUGCAACGUUCUCUUGUGGGCAGGCGUUUCAUCCCACUUCUCUGCUUCAUCAUAACUCUCUUCUCUCCUACAGACUUCAUGUUCAUCUUUGCUGCCUUCGCCUUUAAAGGUAACUUCCUUCAAAAAAACUUACAUUUUGCACUAUUAUGAUCUAGUAAAAUAUCCACUGAAAAUUUUCUAGAAAAUUAAGUGUUGAAUAUUCCCAAAUUAGUGAAAUUAGAAAAGGAGGCUUGGUUAAAAAUGAAACGUGCUCAAUUUGGUUGAAAUCUAUAGUUCUUAAUUUUGAUAUGCCUAAUUUUAGUUCUUAAUUUCAUGUUCAUUGGUUGUUGCAAGCACUAUUCACAUACUUAUCUUGGCCUUCUUUUGGGAUAUGUUAAAAUCGUUUUGAUAAUUAUGUCCUUAUGUAAUAAAUAUUCUUUACCAUUUCUGCUUAUCAGGUAUGAUAUUUUUAGUUUUCAUAGAUUCUUGAUCAUCAAUUAGCCAUUUACAAUUAUACGUACUUCCUUUUUUUCCUUACUAGGAUUUAUAUGUUUGCUGAAUUGAUCUGGAAGAUAGUUUCUUUGUUUGUGUAUGCAAAUAAGAAAAGCCUCUUGAAACAUAUAUCUGCACGAAAAUUCGAUUUUUACACUUUCACUUCAUUUGUUUUCUUUGAUGAUUAUGGUCCUAAUGAUGAAUCUCUCGUUUAUUACAAGAGUGGUGAGUUUGGUUACUAGUUUCUAGAAUUGCAAGAGUGAUAUAUUGUUUAAGAUAUUAAUCAUAGUAAGUUCAGUUAAAAUGUCUAUAUCUAGAGUCUUUAUUUGGUUGGAGUAGAAGAAAUUGUAGAAUCUAGUUAGGUGCUCAAAAUCUGAACGUGUUCAAAUGCUCCAUGUUUAGAUUCUUCUUGUGUUGAUUGUAUUCAACAAAGCCUUUAAAGUUGUAAGACACAGAGAUGAUUUAAAUUGGUCCCAAGAAAGGUCUUUGAAUUUGUUUUCAUUAGAUAAUUUUUGUCACAUAGUUCCAAUAUGUGUAAUCACACGAGGUAUGAUUACUGUCAUUGCGGAUUGUCGAAAAAUUAUCAAGAAUGAAACAUUUGACUAAUAUAUUCAUACCCAGAAAUUCAUUUAAUUUUUGUUUUGUGUUGCUAAGGACCAUUUUAGGUAGCAAGCAAUUUUCUCGUCCACAAUUUGAGAAUACUAGUACUAAUGUUGUGGUUCAUGUGAUGUAAUUUAUCGUGCCAUGCACGAUUUAUCAAUCUAGAAAUAUUUUUAUCUUAUCUUAAAAAAACUAUUUUAGUAUACCAUUAUAGAUCUUCAUCGUAUUUUGUGUAUUCCAUAAGUUAUAGACCAGACCAAUUGUGUGUAGUGAUUAUUUGCAUUGCUUGUGUUUACUUUCUCAACCAAAACUCCAGCAGUAGCUAUGGUUAUAAAUUUGGAGCCACACAAAAAUCAUUAAUGGUUCCUCUUUAAAACCAAAAGCUGCACAUGCUCUAUUCUCCGAAAAAUUAUUUUACUGUAUUGCAGAUAUGUUAAUUCAAAUUUUUUUGGGAGAUCGGUAGUCACAACUUAACUGAAGCAAUGGAGUCAAAGCUAAUUUCUGCUCAUGUAGUUUUUCAGUAGUGGAUACAUUGAAUUCGUUUGGUAAAUCUACCUUUAACUUAGAUGUGAAAUAUGGGAUGUACACUACUUAAUAUGAUAUUCAUUUGAUUAAUAUAAUGUUAGCAUUUUCUAGAGCAAUAGUUUUUUCUCUUAUUGGCAAGCUUUGUUUUUUUUUAUUUGUUUUUGGAUACAAUUAAUUAUUUUUAGUAGGAAAGCGUCUUCAUAAAUCAAGCGAUGAUCAACCUCUCCCAUUUGCCUCCUUGUCUAGUUACCACCACUAGGAAGAAGAUGGAUUCCAUCCGCUUAAUUACUCAUGUUUCUUGCUGACUCAGGCCAUUCCCCAUCCCAAGUAAUUAUUGCUUUUGCUUUCUUUUAUUGGACUUUGAUGUGAAAACUAUGAAUUUAAUCGAUUUAUCUAUUAUUUAUUAAUAUGUUAUAGCAUUUGGAAGGCAUACUCCACUAUUGACUCCUUUGACUGCAUUAGCAAACUUGAGCUCAGGAUGCAAUCAUGGUUAGUUCGCAUAGAUUAACUUUUUUGGUUUGUUUGUUAUAUCUAUGACAAACUUGUGCACUAUAUAUUUUGCAAAAUCAAGAGUUUAAUUUGUUUUCAAUGUACGUAUGACUUUUACUGAUGACUUAGGAGAAAAGUAUUAAGGCUAAGAUAGAACACAAAUAUAAUUUAGCAAGUAUCAAAGUUGAUAAGGUUGAGACUAAACUUUUUACUUGUUCUCUAGUAUGUGUCAUCAUAAUUGGGAGUAAUUUUUUUUUGGGUAAUAAUUUCCUAUAACUUUUGUUUUUUGACUAGUAUUGUUUUAUCUUGAAUUCAGACCAACAUGUUUUCUUUGUUUGCUCUUCGAUAGUGUGGGGUGAAAUUGAGCGACAUACUAACCAAAACGCUAAAUCGAUUAGCUUUCAAAAUAUUCUUGGAAAGGAAUUAUUCAUUGCUAUUUGGGAUGAACUGCCUACUAUUUUGCUUUUUGUCCUCAAUCCAUUGGUAUAGCUAUUUUAUGCUUGUAGUUGAAUUUAACAUGUGGUAAACAUACAUAGUGAUUAUGUGUUUUUGAAUAUAUGGUUUAGCAUGCUGUAGUCAUCUACUGAUUAUGUAUAAAUAUUUGGUUUAGCAUGAUCUGGUGAUGAAAAAUAUAGUCAAGAUAAAUGCUUCAUGCUAUAAGAGGAAAUAUGCGAAUCAAGAGCCCUAGUAUGCUGAAUUGAAAUGGAAUCAAUGUAAAGCAAAGCAAGCAGUGAAACAAUCCCUGAAGCAAUGUUGAUGUUUUCCAGGGCAAAUGGUGCAAAAGAAGAUUUACAUGUUAUACAAUGGAAACUUCAGACAAUAGGCUAUUUUUAAUCUUUGCAGAAUAUGUUUUUUGCGUUGAAUUGUAUAUUCUAAUCCAUAUUUUUUCUGAGAGAGAGUUCAUGUGUGUAAGGGGAAUGGUCUAUUGCAUUUACUGCUUUUCAUUGGAACUUCAAACAAUUGAACAAGGAAUAACUUACCGUACUUUUGAGAUGGCUCUAACAUUGCUGGUAUUUUACUUAAUGCAGUUUUCCUUCAUUAAAUGCUGCUAUUAUUCUGAUUGCUAAUGCUCUAUCUCUUGUUUUUCUUUGUGAAAUUUACUUUUAUACAUUUUUAAACCUCUAAUCUUUUUUGUUUGGAAUUUUUUCCAUAUCUUGUAAUACCUAAACAAUAUUAACUGCUAGAUUUUGUUAUUUGAUUUUGACAAUAUCAUGUAUGCUCUUCUUCUUUUUUUACCAUAUUAUACUUCACCUCUCUUUCAUAUUUUAAUGAAUGCUUUUGACCAUUUAUUUGGUGAAUUUCUCUAGAUAUUGUCCAUAGAAAAAAAAAAUGACAAAAGUGAUAUUUGUUGAGGUGAUUUUCUAAUAUAAGCAUCGACGCAAUUGGCAAUUGAGGCAUCAUUGAAAAAUUGAUUUAAAUUUCUUUUUUUUUUUUAUGUUGGAUGAACUAAAAAGAAUGAUUUUUUUUUUUUUUUUGGAAAAGACUUCGCCGCAUGCCAUAUGAAAUGUGGUGAAGCUUUUUUCUCUUUGUAAAACCCGCAUCUAGCUUUGAUGCGACAACCUGUUUUUAAAAAUUUUUAAAUAUAAAUUUUUAUUUUUUGUAUCCAUAGACCUUACACCUUAAACUAUAUUCCUAGCUGGAUGCAAAAACCUUUGACUGCACUAUUAUUUUGUAAAAUCUAGGGCUUAAUUUGUUUUUCAAUGUGUGUAUGUUUUUUUAGUGAUGACUGAGGAGGAAAGUAUCGAGGUUGAGCUUGAACACAAAUAUAAUUUAGCAAGUAUUAAAGUUACUGAGGUUGAGAUUGACCUUUUUACUUGUUCUCUAACAUGUGUUAUCAUAAUUGGGAGCACUUUUCUUUGCGUAAUAAUUUCCUGUAACUUUUGUUGCUUUUUCUUUUUUUACUAGUAUUGUUUUAUCUUGAAUCCAAACCAACAUGUUUUCUUUGUUUGCUCUUCAACAGUGUAGGAUAGAUUGGAGUGGCAUACUGACUAAAAUCGCCAAACAGAUUAGCUUUCAAAACAUUCUUCGAAAGGAUUAUUCAUUGCUACUUGGGAUGAAUUGCCUACUAUCUUGCUUUUUGUCCUCAUUCCAUUAACAUAGUUAUUUUAUGCUUGCAGUUGAAUUUCACAUGUGAGAAAUAUAGAUACUCAUUAUGUGUUUUUUGAAUAUACAGUUUAGCAUGCUAUAGUCAUCUUACUGAUUAUGUGUAAAUAUUUGGUUUAGAAUGAUUUAAUGAUGAGAAAUAUAAUCGAGAUAAAUGCUUCAUGCUAUAAGAGGAAAGAGGCGAUUCAAGAGCUCAAGUAUGCUGAAUUGAAGUGGAAUCAAUGUAAAGCAAUGAAACAAUCCCAGAAGCAGUGUUGAUGUUGUCCAGCGCAAAAGGUGCAAAAGGAGAUUUACAUGUGUUGAAUUUGUAUAUCCUAUUCCAUAUUUGUUCUAAGAGAGAGUGUGUAUGUGUAAGAGGGAAUGGUCUAUUGCCUUUACUGCUUUUUCUUGGAUUUCAAACAAUUGAACAGAGAGUACUCUUACUGUACUAUGGAGAUGGCUAUAAUCUUGUUGGUAUUUUACUUAAUGUAGUUUUCCUUCAUUA
rnacentral:lncRNA from 1 species